UACAGGGGGGCAAGCGUUGUUCGGAAUUACUGGGCGUAAAGAGCUCGUAGGUGGUUUGUCGCGUUGUUCGUGAAAACUCACAGCUCAACUGUGGGCGUGCGGGCGAUACGGGCAGACUAGAGUACUGCAGGGGAGACUGGAAUUCCUGGUGUAGCGGUGGAAUGCGCAGAUAUCAGGAGGGAAACACCGGUGGCGAAGGCGGGUCUCUGGGGCAGUAA
rnacentral:rRNA from 1 species